GCUCACUUCGGCAGAACAUAUACUAAAAUUGGAAUGAUAUAGAGAUUAGCAUGGCCCCUGCACAAAGAUCAUUUUGAAGAAUAACUCAUCUACUAAAUCUAC